rnacentral:rRNA from 1 species
AUUGAACGCUGGCGACAUGCCUUACACAUGCAAGUCGAACGGCAGCACGGGUGCUUGCACCUGGUGGCGAGUGGCGAACGGGUGAGUAUUACAUCGGAACAUGUCCUGUAGUGGGGGAUAGCCCGGCGAAAGCCGGAUUAAUACCGCAUACGAUCUACGGAUGAAAGCGGGGGACCUUCGGGCCUCGCGCUAUAGGGUUGGCCGAUGGCUGAUUAGCUAGUUGGUGGGGUAAAGGCCUACCAAGGCGACGAUCAGUAGCUGGUCUGAGAGGACGACCAGCCACACUGGGACUGAGACACGGCCCAGACUCCUACGGGAGGCAGCAGUGGGGAAUUUUGGACAAUGGGCGAAAGCCUGAUCCAGCAAUGCCGCGUGUGUGAAGAAGGCCUUCGGGUUGUAAAGCACUUUUGUCCGGAAAGAAAUCCUUGGCCCUAAUACGGUCGGGGGAUGACGGUACCGGAAGAAUAAGCACCGGCUAACUACGUG